GCAGGACAAAUUAAGAAAACCCUAAUCUAUCUUGCAAGUGAUGAGCCCAAAAUCAAUUUAAAACCAAAUUUAGAAUUUUCUAAAAUUUCAGAUUAAUUUUCAGAUUUUUUUUUUGUUGUAUUUUUUUUUUAAAAAAUAGCUAAUAAUAAAGAAAAGCAAAUUUAGAAGAAAGAUAAGAAAAAAAUAGAUGAAAGAGAAAAGAUGAUGAAGGAGAAGGUAGAACCUUUUAGUAAGAAGAAUUUUGUCGGCGCACACGACAAGAGAGAGGAAAGGAAGAAGAUACCACGACCGCAGUCCAUUGAUUGAAAAGGCGCGAGGCGCGAAAAGGCGCAAGACCCUCCUGGAGUCUAGGCGCGAGGCGCACUGCGAGGCGCGCGCCUUAAGAAGGCGAGGCGCACAGUAAUUUAAUUUGAUAUUCUACAUUAAAAAAACUCCAAAAUAACUAUACAAAACUAAAAUAACUAUAAAAAAGUAAAGAAAACACAUGCAUAUAGGUUCUCAAGUUAAAAAAAAUAUAUUUCGACUUUCAACUUAAAAGUGAUUGUGGUGCCAAUGUUUUCAUUUGGCCUCAAGAAGGAGAAGAGGGCGAUAAAAGGAGAGAGUGGUAGGAGGAGAGGCGAUAGAUUGAUUUCAUUAGGGUUUUUUUAGGUUUCUUUUAGAUUCUUUUACUAAUCUUAUUGGGCUAAAACAUAAAAUUUAUAUCCGAAACCCAAUAACCCAAAAACUUUAAUCCAAAAUCCAAAAAAUAUUAAAUAUGCCGAGGCGCGCGCCUCAGGGCCUAGGCGCGCGCCUCAGCAAUAGCGCCUUGCCUCGCUAUUGUUGAGGCGCGGAGGCCCGCGCCUUGCGCCUAGGCGCUGAGGUGCGCGCCUCAGGCCCACCUUUUCAAACACUGCCACAGUCAAAUCAUAAACAUCAAACUGAUUUUCAUUACUCCUCCCCAAAUUACAAAUUAUAGGCUAUAUUUAUAACCUUCCAACCGUAAUCCUAAUCCAAUUCAAAUCCCAAGAUUUUAGGGAUAUUUUCCUAAUUCGAGUAUAUCUAAAAUCUAAACCAUAUCCCUAAUUUUUAGGGAUUUAUUCCAUAUGAUAAAUCCUAAAAAUCUUCACAAAAACGAGUAAAACAAAUUAACAAGUAAAAUAAUUCCAAAAAUUAGAAAAAAGUUUAAAACCUAAACGAAUCAAUCCUAUCCGCACCCGAUUCUGUAUCAUUUGCUUCCGCUGCGCAGGAUCUCGUCCUCGAGAUACCUAUUGAUGCUCGAAGAUAUUUUGGAUAUGGCCCAAGAAUUCCAUCACCUGUAGCGAAGCCAACUCGACGUAGAAGCAAGUUUUUGCCUAUCUUUUUCAACUUCACAAUAUUACUUAAUUUACAAGACAUGAAUUUCAAUUUUGAUCUGGCACAGUCGAACGAAUAAGUAUUUUCAUAUCCAUUGUGCUUCACUUUGUGAUCAUACAUCCAUGGCCUUCCAAGUAGUAUAUGUGUGACUUUCAUAGGUAGAACAUCACACGAUACUUGUUGAAUUAACUUACCAAUUGAAUAUACCACUAGGCAUUGCCGAGUGACUUUCAAAUUUUGGUUAUUUACCCAUGCCAACUUGUAAGGCUCAGGAUGCAGUGUGGUCUUCAAUUUCAGUUUGUCAACGGCUUCUUUAGAAAUAAUGUUGGCACAACUUCCCAAGUCUAUAACCAUUGAACAAACUUGUCUAUUACAAAGAACUCGAGUUUGAAAGAUGGUAUGGCGCUUCCACUCCUUAUCGUCUUCUGUUGCGUGGGUUGAGAGCAUCGGCCUAAUAACUCCGCAAUGUUCAAGCUCUUUAUCAUAUUCGGGCUCGUGCACUUCAAUAUCAUCAUCAUCAUAUGGUACGACGCAUAAAUUUUCAAAAUCAUCAUGUGCUUGAGCCAUUGCUAAGUUGCGCUGUGGACAUUGGUGAGCAUAGUGCCCGGCCUUGUCGCACUUGAAACACCUGCCUUCUUUUUUCUUUGACGCCUCAAAGAUUGAUGCCUUAGGGGAUGCCUAGGGAGUGGAUAUUGGUUGCUUCAUCUUUUCGGACGCAGUGUAGUGGUGCUCAGAUCUUGACUCAGGAUUGCGUAGAAAGUUAGGCCGCGUCGGUGAAGCAUGCGCAUUUUGCUCCUCCACAAUCUGGUGUGCAACUUGAACUGCGUCAGCAAGGGAGAGGAAUCGACUGGAGGCUAACUUUUCAGCAAUAUUGGAAUGGAGGCCUCGUCGAUACAUGGUAAUCAACAAAUCCUCACUCCAUGGAAAUUCUGAUCGUGCUGCCAGAUGGUUGAAACGUGAAGUGUACUCCUCGACUGUCAUGCUACCUUGAGUUAACUUGGUAAAUUGGUAUUGAACGCGCUGCCUAUAAUCAAUUGGUACGAAUUGACGUGUCAUAGCUCUUUUCAUAUCCUCCCACAUACGAACAUCCAUAUAAGGAUGUUGCCUGUUCUCGUGUCCACCAAAUACGUGCUGUACCACGAAGUUUUGAUUCUACAAUCAUAAUUUUUUGAUCUUCCGCAGGCUGGUACCAACGAAAAUAUGCCUCUAGGCUGUAAACCCAGUCUAAAAAUAUUUCGGGGUCCAUGUCACCAUGAAACUCCUCCACAUGAAACUUGAUACCUCUUUGAUUUUCUGUAGCUUUGGUAUGAGAUGUAGUGGUUUGAGUUUGCGGCGGGGUAUUUUGAAUAGAUUGAGGAAUAACAGGAGGUAAGGGAGGGACGGAAGUUGCGGAUGUUAGAGAGGAGCCCGUGGGCGGUGGAGAUUUAGAAUGAAUGAGGUUUUCAAAUAGCUGUUUGAUUUCCGCUAAUUGUUGGUUAGUUGAUUGCAAAUUAGUUUCUAACUUUUCAAAACGAGUGUUGGUAGAAAGUUUAAAUUCUUCAAGCAUUGAACUAAGUUCUGCGUUUGUUGGCAUUUUGAAAAUUAAUUUAUUAAUCAACUUUUCUCUGAUACCAAAACUAAUGCAGGACAAAUUAAGAAAACCCUAAUCUAUCUUGCAAGCGAUGAGCCCAAAAUCAAUUUAAAACCAAAUUUAGAAUUUUCUAAAAUUUCAGAUUAAUUUUCAGAUUUUUUUUUGUUGUAAUUUUUUUUUUUUUAAAAUAGCUAAUAAUAAAGAAAAGCAAAUUUAGAAGAAAGAUAAGAAAGAAAUAGAUGAAAGAGAAAAGAUGAUGAAGGAGAAGGUAGAACCUUUUAGUAAGAAGAAUUUUGUCGGCGCACAGGACAAGAGAGGAAAGGAAGAAGAUACCACGACCGCAGUCAAAUCAUAAAUAUCAAAUUGAUUUUCAUUACACGUCCCCAAAUUACAAAUUAUAGGCUAUAUUUAUAACCUUCCAACCGUAAUCCUAAUCUAAUUCAAAUCCCAAGAUUUUAGGUAUAUUUCCCUAAUUCGAGUAUAUCUAAAAUCUAAACCAUAUCCCUAAUUUUUAGAGAUUUAUUCCAUAUGA
rnacentral:lncRNA from 1 species